rnacentral:rRNA from 1 species
CCUGACUGCUAUCGGAUUGAUACUAAGCCAUGCGAGUCAUUGUAGUAAUACAAGGCAGACGGCUCAGUAACGCGUAGUCAACCUAACCUAUGGACGGGAAUAACCUCGGGAAACUGAGUAUAAUGCCCGAUAGAACAUUAUGCCUGGAAUGGUUUAUGUUCCAAAUGAUUUAUCGCCGUAGGAUGGGACUGCGGCCUAUCAGUUUGUUGGUGAGGUAAUGGCCCACCAAGACUAUUACAGGUACGGGCUCUGAGAGGAGUAGCCCGGAGAUGGGUACUGAGACACGGACCCAGGCCCUAUGGGGCGCAGCAGGCGAGAAAACUUUGCAAUGUGCGAAAGCACGACAAGGUUAAUCCGAGUGGUUUCUGCUAAAGGAACCUUUUGUUAGUCCUAGAAACACUAACGAAUAAGGGGUGGGCAAGUUCUGGUGUCAGCCGCCGCGGUAAAACCAGCACCUCAAGUGGUCAGGAUGAUUAUUGGGCCUAAAGCAUCCGUAGCCGGCUCUAUAAGUUUUCGGUUAAAUCUGUACGCUCAACGUACAGGCUGCCGGGAAUACUGCAGAGCUAGGGAGUGGGAGAGGUAGACGGUACUCGGGAGGAAGGGGUAAAAUCCUUUGAUCUCUCGAUGACCACCUGUGGCGAAGGCGGUCUACCAGAACACGUCCGACGGUGAGGGAUGAAAGCUGGGGGAGCAAACCGGAUUAGAUACCCGGGUAGUCCCAGCUGUAAACUAUGCAAACUCAGUGAUGCAUUGACUUGUGGUCAAUGCAGUGCUGCAGGGAAGCCGUUAAGUUUGCCGCCUGGGAAGUACGUACGCAAGUAUGAAACUUAAAGGAAUUGGCGGGGGAGCACCACAAGGGGUGAAGCCUGCGGUUC